UGCUUAUCACGAGUGGCGGAGGGACUGGCCCUAUGAAGCCCGGCAACCUGUAUAAUAUCAAGGUGCCAAAUCCAACAGUAAACAAACUGGAAGAUGAGUA
rnacentral:ncRNA from 2 species